GCAAUACGAAUUCUUAGUGGCGAAUGGGUGAGUAACACGUAGGUGACCUGCCCCGAAGUGUGGAAUAACAGUCCGAAAGGAUUGCUAAUACCGCAUGUGGUUCUAGUCUUUAGAAAGCUAGAUCUAAAGCAGAAAUGCGCUUCGGGAGGGGCCUGCGGUCCAUCAGCUAGUUGGUAGGGUAACGGCCUACCAAGGCGACGACGGAUAGGGGACCUGAGAGGGUGGCCCCCCACAUUGGCACUGAAACACGGGCCAAACUCCUACGGGAGGCAGCAGUCGGGAAUAUUGGUCAAUGGGCGAAAGCCUGAACCAGCAACGCCGCGUGCACGAUGAAGGCCUUCGGGUCGUAAAGUGCUUUUUAGAGGGAUGAGGAAGGACAGUACCUCUAGAAUAAGUCACGGCUAACUACGUGCCAGCAGCCGCGGUAAAACGUAGGUGACAAGCGUUAUCCGGAAUUACUGGGCGUAAAGCGCGUGCAGGCGGCUUCGCAAGUCGGGCAUGAAAUCUCUCGGCCUAACCGAGAGACGCUGUUCGAUACUGCGGAGCUUGAGGGCAGUAAAAGGUGGCGGAAUUCCGCAUGUAGUGGUGAAAUGCGUAGAGAUGCGGAGGAACACCAGUGGCGAAGGCGGCCACCUGGGCUGUCCCUGACGCUGAAGCGCGAAAGCUAGGGUAGCGAACGGGAUUAGAAACCCCGGUAGUCCUAGCCGUAAACGAUGUUAACUAGGUGUCGGCGAUUAAAAACCGUCGGUGCCGAAGCCAACGCGUUAAGUUAACCGCCUGGGGACUACGGCCGCAAGGUUAAAACUCAAAGGAAUUGACGGGAACCCGCACAAGCAGCGGAACCGUGUGGUUUAAUUCGAGGCUACGCGAAGAACCUUACCAGGGUUUGACAUGUACGUAGUAGUGAAGCGAAAGCGGAACGACCCUUCCGGGGAGCGUACACAGGUGAUACAUUGGCUGUCGUCAGCUCGUGCCCUGAGGGGGUUGGGUUAAGUCCACUAACCGAGCGCAACCCUUAAGAGCCAGUUACAAGUGUCUGGGUUCGAUGGCCGGUCUUAAACCCGGAAGAAA
rnacentral:rRNA from 1 species